CCAAACUUGGUCAUUUAGAGGAAGUAAAAGUCGUAACAAGGUCUCCGUUGGUGAACCAGCGGAGGGAUCAUUACCGAGUUUUCAACUCCCAAACCCCUGUGAACAUACCUGAACGUUGCUUCGGCGGGACCGCCCCGGCGCCCUCAGCGGCCCGGAACCAGGCGCCCGCCGGAGGACCCAAACUCUUGCUUUAAACAGUGGCAUUCUCUGAGUCUCACAAACAAAAUAAAUCAAAACUUUCAACAACGGAUCUCUUGGCUCUGGCAUCGAUGAAGAACGCAGC
rnacentral:misc_RNA from 1 species